rnacentral:rRNA from 1 species
AGCGUAGACGGCUCUGCAAGUCUGGAGUGAAAACCCGGGGCUCAACCCUGGGACUGCUUUGGAAACUGUGGAGCUUGAGUACCGGAGGGGUAAGCGGAGUUCCUAGUGUAGCGGUGAAAUGCGUAGAUAUUAGGAGGAACACCAGUGGCGAAGGCGGCUUACUGGACGGUAACUGACGUUGAGGCUCGAAAGCGUGGGGAGCAAACA